UCCUCCCUCUUCCUCUCCUCUUUCUUCCUCCUUUCUCCAAUAUGAAGACACACACCCCCAGACUACUCCAAUUGCAUUCCAGAACAUUCAGGCACUGAUGUCACAAAGCAGUGAGGUAUGAGGUAAGAGGCUGCGUUGUUGCGAUACUUCCCUCCACUACGUGCGUGGACUCUGGAGGAAUGCGUGUGUGAAAAAUGACUGGAACCACAGCACUGAGAUUGCGGCAGGCGGCAGUGGUCCAAGGCUUCCUGGACGCAGCCUCAAUCCUGCUGUGAUGGGCUCCAGGGUCUGCGUUGCCUACCCCUUACUGGCCUCUACAAGAACAAAGACUGGCCAUCGUGGCCCUCGUCCAGGCCUUCGCUCCCCAGCAGCCCUGCCCGCACUGCUCUCCUCACACACCACUGGGGGAAGACCUUCCGUCCACUCUCCAGAGUCCCCUUCUUUAGGAAACCUGGAAUGGCCACCCUGCAGGUGGGUCCAAUCACCCUCCACAGCUGUCCCACAGAUGGGCCCCAGCCAGCCACAGGUGGGAUUACUCAUCACAGGUUGAGCUGGCCACCCACACAGAUGGAUUCAACUACCCACAAAGGAAUGGUCACCCCAUAGGAGCACUGCUUAUGAGGAAAGCCUGUUCAGUGUCUGACAAGCUCUUCUCUCUGCCCAGUCAUGCCCUGUGACGAAAGUGUGUGGGUUAUUAGCCCCAUUUCACAGAAGAGAAAACUGAGGCUCUGAGCAGUUAGGCAACUCACUCAAGGUUAGAGAGUGGCUGAGUCCCUGAGCUACAGCAAGAACCUUGCAACCCCAGUAAAAGAGGGCCUAAAAUGUGAAGUUGAGGUCUAGGGGCCAAAGAACCCCCAGGCCCCCGGGCUGAGAGGGAGGCUCUGUUGGAAAACUGAUUCAUCUGAGCUCCUAGAAUCUGGAAUCUUCCAUCUGCCCUUGAUCCCAUGCAAGAAGAAACAAAACCAACAGCAGUUUUUUAAUGCUUUGGUUGUAUGGCUGAUUUUCUUACAAUACACCCACUCCAUCGUUGAGUUAAUUCUGUGUGUGUUCAUGUGCAUGUGUGCUUUCAGGUACACGGGCGUGUGUGUGUGUGUGUGUGUGUGUGUGUGUGUGUGUGUGUGUGUGCAUGUGUGGGUUAGUGCAGAACACAGCUAAGAUGCCAUUCCUUAGGUGCC